ACCUCAGGUGAGUGCCUUGGUGUUCCUUUUCACUACAACAGAAUUAGGUUAUAGGGACACAUGUUUGGGACACUUUUGAGUAAGUGUCCCAUUUAUGCUAAAACUUAAAAAAACAUCUACUUAUGCCUAAAUAUAAAGUCCAAUCCAACCAAAAAUAAAAGAUUACUCUACUCAACCCACCACACCCAGUCCAUUUGACCCGAUUACAAACAGAAAAGAAAAAAGAAAGAAAAAUCAAUUACCAUCUUUUCUUCUCUCUUCACUCAAUCCACUAAAAUUCUAGACGAAUAGCCUUUUCUGUCGUCCUCCUCCGCCACCGCAGUCAACGAGAUAGGGUUUCGGUUGUUGCUAAAUGCUUAAAUAAGUAUUGGUAAAUUAGCAGCACUCUUUUAGGUUAUAGCGACACUCUUUAACUGUCACUAUAUACCUAGCGACCCCACAUAUAGCAACACUUUUUAAAAGUGUCGGUAAUUUUAGCUAGCAGCACUUUUUUGAUAUGUACCUAUAUUUAAAAGUGUCGCUAUAGACCAUUUUUGUUGUCGUGUUUCUUUAUUUUUUGUUAACGUAACAUAUUGGUACUUUGUCCUUCAAU
rnacentral:lncRNA from 1 species